GAGGCAGUGACAGUUGAGGUCCCUGUGAGGAGACGGCAGAUGCAGGUCGCCCGUGGAGGGAGCUGGUCAGUGUGACGGAGGGGAGGGGAGGGACCCAGGGAGAUUUUCGCAGGCAUUGUUGGGAGGAUUGGACGGGAAACUGGAUAAAGCGGGGCAGCGUGCAUCACUCAAAAGUGGCGCGCUCCCACCGCCAGCCAGGCUCGGAGCGGCACAGGAUCGCCACUGCUGCAGACCCGGGGGAGGCCCCCAGGUAAGGGGUCAUCCUGGCAGUUCCUUCCAUCCGUCUGUCUUCUGCAGCAUUGACCAUCCUGUUGGAACAUGAACAUGUUGGAAUAUGAUGUAUACACAUUUGUGAGGCCUCACCCGAACCUGAAGCCAGCAGUGUGAAAUGGAUGCCCCAGGAAUGCUUCUGCAAGUGGAUUCCUGGGAUGUACAUCAACAAGUAUGGAGGAGGCAACUCUUAAAGGGGUUCCCUGAUCUGUUGUUGCUGACCACACCCUAUAAUGCAAUACAUGUG